rnacentral:SRP_RNA from 1 species
GAUGACAAUGUACACUUGUAAUCCCACCUCCCAGGGAAGCUGAGACUGGAGGAUUAUUUGAGUUUAGGAGUUCUGAGCUUCAGUGGACUAAACUGACUGGGUGUCCACACUAAUUCUGGCACCAAUAUGGUGAAUGCCCAAAAGUGGGGAGCCACCAGAUUGCUUAAGGUAGGGAAGAAUCAAUCUUGGUUGGAAGCAGAGCAAAAGGAAGUUCCCAUGCUAAUCAGUAGUGAGACUGGUCUGGUGAGUGGCAAUUAUAUUUCCAACCUAUAUGAGACAAGAAAAA